rnacentral:rRNA from 1 species
GACAGAGGCCCCGAGCGUUAGGCGGAAUCACUGGGCUUAAAGCGUGUGUAGGCGGACCCCUAAGUGUCUUGUGAAAUCCCACGGCUCACCCGUGGAACUGCUGGGCAUACUGGGGGUCUUGGGCCGUUCAGGGGCAUGCGGAACUUCCGGUGGAGCGGUGAAAUGCGUAGAUAUCGGAAGGAACGCCGGUGGCGAAAGCGGCGUGCUGGACCUCUUCUGACGCUGAGGCGCGAAAGCUAGGGGAGCAAACGGG